UCUCACCUACGGGGGGCAGCAGUGAGGAAUAUUGGUCAAUGGGCGAGAGCCUGAACCAGCCAAGUCGCGUGAGGGAGUACUGCCCUAUGGGUUGUAAACCUCUUUUGUCGGGGAGCAAAAGCCGGACGUGUCCGGCUGUGAGAGUACCCGAAGAAAAAGCAUCGGCUAACUCCGUGCCAGCAGCCGCGGUAAUACGGAGGAUGCGAGCGUUAUCCGGAUUCAUUGGGUUUAAAGGGUGCGCAGGCGGGCCUUUAAGCCGGCGGUGAAA
rnacentral:rRNA from 1 species